ensembl:lncRNA
AGAUGGGAUGGGCUGGAAUGGGGAUGGGGGUGGGAUGAGAUUGGGUGUGAUAGGAUGAGAUGGGAUGGGACCCUUGCAGGAUGGUCUGAGACAUCUCAGCUCGUUUGUUAUGCUUCUCUCUUUCCCUCUGGGGAAGUUAAUGCCCACUUCUGCAUGGCAGGGAUGGAUGGCUGACCUCCAUCUGCUGGUGGCAGGAUGCAGCACAGUGGCUGUGCUAAUGCUGUCCUGGCUGCAGUGCCACACUUGGUGCAGCCUCUGCAAUAUUUAGGGUCCUGCCCAGGGCCAAGCAGCUUCUGGCUGGCCUGCAGCCGACCUGUGGGACCCAGUCAGCAGGCCACAGUGCAUGGAAUGCCCUUAGGAAAAACCAACAGGAUCAGUCCUCAAAGCAAAGCACAACUUGCAUUUGCCUUUGCCCCCACAAUAGACAGUAAAUAAAGGCAGUGAUCAAACAGGGCAGGACUUAGGGGGGCUGGGACAUCGCCCUGGGGGGAGCUGCUCCCACAGCAGGCUGCACAGCUCAGCAUGCAGGCGGGUCCUGAAUACUUCCAUUGAAGGAGACCCCACACCUCCCUGGGCAGCCCAUCCCAGUGCUCCAUCACCCUCGCCAUGAAGAAGUUCCUUCACAUUUUGGUGCGGAACUUCCUGUGCUCCAGUGUGUGGCCGUUUCCCCUUGUCCUGUCCCCACAGACCACUGAGAUGAGUCUUCCCCAGGCCGAGCAGCUCCACGUCACGCAGCCUUCCCCCACAGGGAGAUGCUCCAGGCCUUCUCAGCUCUGUUAUCAGGAUGCCAUGGGAGAUAACACCAAAAGCCUUGCUGACAUCCACUUGCACCAAAAGCCUUGCAGAUGACAUCCACUCCUCCCCCCGCACCUACCCGGCUGGUGAUGCCAUCAUAGAAGGCUACGAGGCACAGAGGUGAGGCUGACUGCCUGCGGUUUCCUGGAUCCUCCUUCCUACCCUUUCUGCAGAUCUGCAUACUGCUCCCACCCAGCAGCUCCAGGACCCCCCCCUCACCCAGAGGGCAGCUCUCCAUUCCUGGACUCUCCCUGUUCCCCCCGGGGUCCCAAGAGGGUGGUCUUGGAAGUGAGAACUGUACCAAAGAAGGCACUCAGCAUCUCCACCUCCUCAGCACACCUCCCCUUGUUCCACAGGGUACCUUCUUACUUCCUCAUCAACACAGCAAUUGGGGUUUCGUGAGUGGAACAAAUGUGCAACAGCCCCGAGCUGCGAGGAGGAGUCAGGAGAGAGAUUCCGUGCAGUGCUGCAGCACGGUGCAUCCGCAGGGCACUGCCCACAGCACCGUGCACUGCCUGCAGCACCGUGCACUGCCUGCAGCACUGAGCACUACCCGCAGCACCGUGCAUUCCCUGCAGCACCGUUCUCUACCUGCAGCACUGCGCAUGGCUCUCCCUGCAGUGCCCGCAGCGCCAUGAACUGUGUCCUGCUCUGCGUGCACUGUGUGCCACCUAUGCCGUGCACCGCCUGCAGUGCUAUGCAUGGCCCGCACGCCGUGCUGCCUGCAGCUGCUUGCACCGCCCAGGGGAGAUUGCAGAGGGCAGAGCGCUGCUCAUUGUGCUCCUGUCCCCACUGCCGGCAUGCAGCCGCGCUGGAGCGGAGCUGCUCUGGAAGAACCAAAGGACAGUUCCCCCCCACCCCCGCCCUGUGCUCGGAGCUCAUCUCCCCGCUGCCGAUCAGCACAUUCAGUGCUUAAAAGGAAACGAGUCCGCUGUGCUGAUGGGAGAGCCCGGGAGGCGCCGUGCGACCCUGCUUGGCAGCUCCGGGAAGGGCACCGUGUCAGAGCUCCCCGUGCACAAUGCACAGCGCAGCGUGUACAAUGCACGAUGCAGGACGCAGGGAGAGCGGAGUGCCAUCUCUGUUGGGGACGGCCCCGUUUCCGUGGCAACCGAGAGGCUCCGGCGGCGGCCGCGUGGCCCCGGCAGAGGGCACUGCGCGUUGUGCAGUGGAGGAGCCCAGCCCCGUGCCGGGCAGCACUCCAUGUUCCCGGCCUGCUGCGGCGCUCAGAGCACUGGCACAGCGCUCUGCUGGAGUUACUCAUCGCUCCCAUCAGCAGCCCUCACCCAGCGCCCAUCUGCGGCUGCAGGACAGCGCCGUUCAUCAGCGGCGUGAGUCGGGGCUGGAGUGUGUGCAGCGGGGCCUCAGCUGUGUGCCCAUCGCCGUGCAUCCCUCGCCGUGCUGCGUGUGCUGCAGGAUGGGGCUGCACACGAGCGUGCAAAGUGCUGGGUGCGUGGAAAUGGCUGGAAAAGUGCUCCCUACUCCUGCUUCAAUCAGAGGAACGGAGCAGCUGUUGGAGUGAAUGGGCCCUGCACUAAAGCAGACGUCUUAAUAUCUUUUGCAGAGGAGGUGCAUUGUGAUUCACUCUGUGCAUCUCUAUUACUCAGCGUUUGAUAGGGGCUUACUUGUCUCAAGUGCUUUUCAUUAUUGCCCUAAUGCUAUCUAUUAACAUAUGGGAUGGAGGCUCUUUUCUCAUCUGGAGCGUGCAUCACUCCGCUUUUAAGGAUGAUGGGGCUUGCAAGUACAUAACACUUUGCUGCCUCCCUGACGGAGCUCACCAGGAGGGAGGGGGUGCGUGGGGUUGGACGGCCGCAGGGCUGCGAGGACACAGUGGUGUGAGCAGAGCCACAGCCAUGCACUGCUCCACUGCCACAGCCCUGCACGGCAGCCGGGUCAGUUAGCUGCUUUAACUGCCCAGGGGGUGUUUGCAGGUGCAGGCUCUGUGGGCAGACUUUGCGGGGGAAGAUUACAGGUGUGGUUUUCUGGGUGGGUGCUGUGUGAUGGGCAGAGCUGUGCUGGGGCGGUCCCACGCGCUGCUCUUACUCUGCACAUGGCUGCAACUCAGAGCUGAACCUUCUGCUGGACAGGAGCAGAAGGAGCUGCAGCCUGGUGAGAGAGCACAUCUCUUCCCUCGGCUCAGGAUGAGUUCUGCCUUGCAUUUUGGUGAGCUAUGGCAAGAAACGCAAUAGCACAGGAGCAAAAAUCACUGCACCUCAGGCUCAGAGCGGUUGGAAGGGACCUGUGGGGCUCCCCCAGCCCGGCCCCAUCCUGCAGGGCCCGCAUGUCCCAGCAGCCAGGUUGGGAUGGGGGGAUUCAGAGCACCUGGAAACCCCAGCGUGGCACAGUUGUUCAGCAGCCGCCUCCGAGCAGCUUGAUGGAUGGCGGGCCGGUCCCACCCGCAGCCAGAUGACAGCUCCUCGCAUCAGCCGCUGUGAUAAAUAGCAAUUACAGACAGGAGCACUGCCACUCACAUUUGCCUAAGUGAGGAGCGGAAUCAUACAUCUCCGCUGAUUACAUAUCAAUGAUGCGCUGGAGGCCUUCGCAACUUUUAGAUCCGCUUAAGAUAUGCCGCCCUGAUUUAGACGGCGAUUUGCAUACAAUUUACCCAUAAAGCCUUACUUUGAAAAGCAUAAUUACUUCUUCUUCUUCUUUUUUUUUUUUUUUUUGUUUUAAUAUUCUUCCUUCUGAUUUGAAUGUUAGCGAGGCCAUAGCAUGAAUUACUGUGCUAAUGAAGAC